CCUACGGGAGGCAGCAGUAGGGAAUAUUGCUCAAUGGGGGAAACCCUGAAGCAGCAACGCCGCGUGGAGGAUGAAGGUUUUCGGAUUGUAAACUCCUUUUGUUAGAGAAGAUAAUGACUGUAUCUAACGAAUAAGCACCGGCUAACUCCGUGCCAGCAGCCGCGGUAAUACGGAGGGUGCAAGCGUUACUCGGAAUCACUGGGCGUAAAGGGCGCGUAGGCGGGAUAGCAAGUCAGAUGUUAAAUCCUAUGGCUUAACCAUAGAACUGCAUUUGAAACUGUUAUUCUAGAGUAUGGGAGAGGUAGGUGGAAUUCUUGGUGUAGGGGUAAAAUCCGUAGAGAUCAAGAGGAAUACUCAUUGCGAAGGCGACCUGCUAGAACAUAACUGACGCUGAUGCGCGAAAGCGUGGGGAGCAAACAGGAUUAGAUACCCUAGUAGUC
rnacentral:rRNA from 1 species